rnacentral:rRNA from 1 species
UACGAAGGGGCUAGCGUUGCUCGGAAUCACUGGGCGUAAAGGGUGCGUAGGCGGGUUUUUAAGUCAGGGUGAAUCCUGGAGCUCAACUCCAGAACUGCCUUUGAUACUGAAGAUCUUGAGUCCGGGAGAGGUGAGUGGAACUGCGAGUGUAGAGGUGAAAUUCGAUGAGAUAUUCGCAAGAACACCAGUGGCGAAGGCGGCUCACUGGCCCGGUACUGACGCUGAGGCA